rnacentral:rRNA from 2 species
UAGGUUAACGAGGCGAACCGGGGGAACUGAAACAUCUAAGUACCCCGAGGAAAAGAAAUCAACCGAGAUUCCCCCAGUAGCGGCGAGCGAACGGGGAGCAGCCCAGAGUCUGAAUCAGCUUGUGUGUUAGUGGAACGGUCUGGAAAGUCCGACGGUACAGGGUGAUAGUCCCGUACACCAAAAUGCACAGGUUGUGAACUCGAAGAGUAGGGCGGGACACGUGGUAUCCUGUCUGAAUAUGGGGGGACCAUCCUCCAAGGCUAAAUACUCCUGACUGACCGAUAGUGAACCAGUACCGUGAGGGAAAGGCGAAAAGAACCCCGGCGAGGGGAGUGAAAAAGAACCUGAAACCGUGUACGUACAAGCAGUGGGAGCACCUUCGGGUGUGACUGCGUACCUUUUGUAUAAUGGGUCAGCGACUUAUAUUCUGUAGCAAGGUUAACCGUAUAGGGGAGCCGCAGGGAAACCGAGUCUUAACUGGGCGUUAAGUUGCAGGGUAUAGACCCGAAACCCGGUGAUCUAGCCAUGGGCAGGUUGAAGGUUGGGUAACACUAACUGGAGGACCGAACCGACUAAUGUUGAAAAAUUAGCGGAUGACUUGUGGCUGGGGGUGAAAGGCCAAUCAAACCGGGAGAUAGCUGGUUCUCCCCGAAAGCUAUUUAGGUAGCGCCUCGUGAACUCAUCUUCGGGGGUAGAGCACUGUUUCGGCUAGGGGGUCAUCCCGACUUACCAACCCGAUGCAAACUACGAAUACCGAAGAAUGUUAUCACGGGAGACACACGGCGGGUGCUAACGUCCGUCGUGAAGAGGGAAACAACCCAGACCGCCAGCUAAGGUCCCAAAGUCAUGGUUAAGUGGGAAACGAUGUGGGAAGGCACAGACAGCCAGGAUGUUGGCUUAGAAGCAGCCAUCAUUUAAAGAAAGCGUAAUAGCUCACUGGUCGAGUCGGCCUGCGCGGAAGAUGUAACGGGGCUAAACCAUGCACCGAAGCUGCGGCAGCGACACUAUGUGUUGUUGGGUAGGGGAGCG